AUUGAACGCUGGCGGCAUGCUUUACACAUGCAAGUCGAACGGCAGCGCGGGCUUCGGCCUGGCGGCGAGUGGCGAACGGGUGAGUAAUGCAUCGGAACGUGCCCAGUAGUGGGGGAUAGCCCGGCGAAAGCCGGAUUAAUACCGCAUACGACCUGAGGGUGAAAGCGGGGGACCGAAAGGCCUCGCGCUAUUGGAGCGGCCGAUGUCGGAUUAGCUAGUUGGUGGGGUAAAGGCUUACCAAGGCGACGAUCCGUAGCUGGUCUGGGAGGACGACCAGCCACACUGGGGCUGGGCCACCGACCAGGCUCCUGCGGGAGGCAGCAGUCGGGAAUGGUGGACAGUGGGGGCAACCCUGAUCCAACGGUGCCGCGUGCGAGGAGGAGGCCUUCGGGUUGUGAAGCGCUUUUGUUGGGGAAGAAAUCCUCUGGGCUAAUACCACGGGGGGAUGACGGUACCGGAAGAAUAAGCACCGGCUAACUACGUG
rnacentral:rRNA from 1 species